UACGAAGGGGGCUAGCGUUGCUCGGAAUUACUGGGCGUAAAGGGCGCGUAGGCGGAUAUCUAAGUUGGGGGUGAAAUCCCGGGGCUCAACCUCGGAAUUGCCUUCAAAACUGGAUAUCUUGAGUUCGGGAGAGGUGAGUGGAACUCCGAGUGUAGAGGUGAAAUUCGUAGAUAUUCGGAAGAACACCAGUGGCGAAGGCGGCUCACUGGCCCGAUACUGACGCUGAGGCACGAAAGCGUGGGGAGCAGACAGG
rnacentral:rRNA from 1 species